CACGGUGACAUCUGACUAUAUAAUAGUGAUACUGAGAAUAUCAUUAUACUGAACGCUGGCUGGGGAUACACUGUAUCAGACACCAGUGGAACUGAUUGAGUAAGACAAUCUCUCUCCCACAUUACUAUGAAGCGGUUUGUAAUAUUAAUGGUGGCGAUCAGCGCAAUCACGGUAUUUAUAGCGGAUGCAGAAAAAAACUAAGUGUACAGAUGUUGCUGUAAUUGUGGCUGCUGCAAAUGUCGCAGUGAUGUACAGAAGGUAAGUGACGUCACUGGAAUUAAUGUAUCUCCUGCCUUCUUCACUCAUUAGAAAAGGUUUUUAUAAAAUGACUUUACAGCAGGUUUAUCAACAUUUUCAUUUAUAAUCACACUAUGUUUAUAAUAUCAUAUCAUAUCAUACAGCAGUGCCCCCAAUGUAUAAUCAUUUUAUUCCUAUGCAGCCUGGUCCUCCCCCAUAAACACACCUUAUAAACACUGGACGUGCCCCUCAUUUGCCCAAUGGCCAGAUCAGACAUGGGCUAAUGUACUAAUAUGUGCAAAAUACGAGGAGUUUCCAAGUUAAAACCCUCCCAUUUAAAGUAGUUUGAAUAGGUUAAAAUUGACAGUAUAUAAAAUCUAUUCUAGAUUAUUGGAGUAGCAGGGGUUAUUUCUCUCAACUCAAUAAAACGUAUAUCAUUAUUACAUCCCAUUGUAUUAUUCCAUCACAUGAUGUUAUUACAGCUGGUAUUAUUAGAGAUUAUUGUAUUAUUACAGAGUAUUCUAUUAUUACAGCUUAUUGUAUUAGUACAGCUUAUUAUUUGUUUUUUUUACAGAUUAUUAUAUUAUUACAUCUCUUUGUAUCAAUAUAGCUUAUUGUAUUAAUAACGAUUAUUAUAUUAAUACAGUUUAUUGUAUUAAUACACCUUAUUGUAUUAAUACAGCUUGUUAUUUAUUACAGCUUAUUAUUAUUAUUGCCAUUUAUAUAGCGCCAACAGAUUCCGUAGCGCUUUACAAUAUUAUGAGAAGGGGGUAUAACUAUAAAUAGGACAAUUACAAGAAAACUUACAGGAACAAUAGGUUGAAGAGGACCCUGCUCAAUCGAGCUUACAGUCUAUAGGAGGUGGGGAAUAAGACACGUUAGGACGGAAAUAUCAGUCAAAUAGGGUGGGAGUGAAGCACUGCCCUAUAGGAGAGAGCAAGAGACAGGUAUGUAAGGUAGAGAUUACUCUGGGAGUCCAUAAGUUUUCCUAAAGAGAUGGGUUUUAAGGCUCUUAUUAAAACCCAUUGUUGUAUUAUUGCAGUUUAUUGUACUAAUGCAGCUUAUUGUAUUACUACAUAUUACCACAUUAUUACAGCUUAUUGUAUUAAUACAGCUUAUUGUGUUAUUACAGCUUGUUGUAUUAAUACAGCGUAUUAUUUAUUACAGCUUAUUGUAUUAAUAAAGAUUAUUAUAUUAUUACAGUUUAUUGUAUUAAUACAGCUCAUUGUAGUAUUACAGCUUGUUGUAUUAUUGCAGUUUAUUGUACUAAUGCAGCUCAUUGUAUUAUUACAUAUUACUACAUUAUUACAGCUCAUUGUAUUUAUACAGCUCACUGUAUUAUUACAGCUUGUUGUAUUAAUACAGCUUAUUAUUUAAUAAAGCUUGUUGAAGCAUUCGUUGGGUGCAGUCCCUACAAUAUUUGUCAAACCAUUUUCAAACUAUGUCACCUAUUGAACUAACUGCUUACCAAGAAUGUAGAAUAACGUGGUGGAUGUUCUGUUGGUGGAAGAAGUGGGCCUGAGCUUUGGGCCCCAGGAGAGCGACAGUAUUCCUCCAAUUCCUUGUUGUAGAUGCCAAGGGUUUUGGGUGAAUUCCAUCCAAUUCUUGUUAAACUGAUUCCAGCCAUUUUAAUAAAGGCUCGGAAUCUCCUGCUGCCAAUAGCAGGCCCCUCUGCUGCCCACCUUGCCCCAUAAAAAUUGUUAUGACGAGUUGUGAUUAUGGUAUGUAGAGUAUCCCUUUAAUUGUAGAUUGUGUUUUAUUUUCUUCCACUAUAGGUAUUUAUUGAUGCAGAGUUACGAAAUUCUUAUCAGUCAACAGAAACCCCUACUUACACGAACGUGGAAAAUAAAAAGAUAACAGAAACCCCUACUUACACGAACGUGGAGAAUAAAAAGAUAACAGAAACCCCUGCUGACACGAACGUGGAGAAUCAAAAAAAACCUGAAACAACUGCUGACACGAACGUGGAAAAUAAAAAGAUAACAGGAACCCCUGCUGACACGAACGUGGAGAAUCAAAAAAAAACUAAUACCCAGUACUCCAUAGAUGGAAAAAUUCCAAUCCUCGAUUGCUUGCUGUGUAAAGCACGAUUCUGUUAAUAGCGCAAUGAAACUCUUCAAGUCAAAUUAAAGAAUGCAUUCUGUGAAUUCAGAGUCGGCUCUUUCAUCAACUCUUCGCAGCCUAUCAUUAAUUCACCAUUUAAAAUGAA